CUUAUACCACGCUGCCUGUCUCCUUAUACCACGCUGCCUGUCUCCUUAUACCACGCUGCCUGUCUCCUUAUACCACGCUGCCUGUCUCCUUAUACCACGCUGCCUGUCUCCUUAUACCACGCUGCCUGUCUCCUUAUACCACGCUGCCUGUCUCCUUAUCCCACGCUGCCUGUCUCCUUAUACCACGCUGCCUGUCUCCUUAUACCACGCUGCCUGUCUCCUUAUCCCACGCUGCCUGUGUCCUUAUACCACGCUGCCUGUCUCCUUAUACCACGCUGCCUGUCUCCUUAUACCACGCUGCCUGUCUCCUUAUACCACGCUGCCUGUCUCCUUAUACCACGCUGCCUGUCUCCUUAUACCACGCUGCCUGUCUCCUUAUACCACGCUGCCUGUCUCCUUAUACCACGCUGCCUGUCUCCUUAUACCACGCUGCCUGUCUCCUUAUCCCACGCUGCCUGUGUCCUUAUACCACGCUGCCUGUCUCCUUAUCCCACGCUGCCUGUCUCCUUAUACCACGCUGCCCGUCUCCUUAUACCACGCUGCCCGUCUCCUUAUCCCACGCUGCCCGUGUUCUUAUACCACGCUGCCUGUCUCCUUAUACCACGCUGCCUGUCUCCUUAUACCACGCUGCCUGUCUCCUUAUACCACGCUGCCUGUCUCCUUAUACCACGCUGCCUGUGUCCUUAUACCACGCUGCCUGUCUCCUUAUACCACGCUGCCUGUCUCCUUAUACCACGCUGCCUGUCUCCUUAUCCCACGCUGCCUGUCUCCUUAUACCACGCUGCCUGUCUCCUUAUACCACGCUGCCUCUCUCCUUAUACCACGCUGCCUGUCUCCUUAUCCCACGCUGCCUCUCUCCUUAUUCCACGCUGCCUCUCUCCUUAUACCACGCUGCCUGUCUCCUUAUCCCACGCUGCCUGUCUCCUUAUACCACGCUGCCUGUCUCCUUAUACCACGCUGCCUGUGUUCUUAUACCACGCUGCCUGUCUCCUUAUACCACGCUGCCUGUCUCCUUAUACCACGCUGCCUGUCUCCUUAUACCACGCUGCCUGUCUCCUUAUACCACGCUGCCUGUGUCCUUAUCCCACGCUGCCUGUCUCCUUAUACCACGCUGCCUGUCUCCUUAUACCACGCUGCCUGUCUCCUUAUACCACGCUGCCUGUCUCCUUAUACCACGCUGCCUGUCUCCUUAUACCACGCUGCCUGUCUCCUUAUACCACGCUGCCUGUCUCCUUAUACCACGCUGCCUGUCUCCUUAUACCACGCUGCCUCUCUCCUUAUACCACGCUGCCUGUCUCCUUAUACCACGCUGCCUGUCUCCUUAUACAACGCUGCCUAUCUCCUUAUACCACGCUGCCUGUCUCCUUAUACCACGCUGCCUGUCUCCUUAUACCACGCUGCCUGUCUCCUUAUACCACGCUGCCUGUCUCCUUAUACCACGCUGCCUGUCUCCUUAUACCACGCUGCCUGUGUCCUUAUACCACGCUGCCUGUGUCCUUAUACCACGCUGCCUGUCUCCUUAUACCACGCUGCCUGUCUCCUUAUACCACGCUGCCUGUCUCCUUAUACCACGCUGCCUGUCUCCUUAUACCACGCUGCCUGUCUCCUUAUCCCACGCUGCCUGUGUCCUUAUACCACGCUGCCUGUCUCCUUAUACCACGCUGCCUGUCUCCUUAUACCACGCUGCCUGUCUCCUUAUACCACGCUGCCUGUCUCCUUAUACCACGCUGCCUGUCUCCUUAUACCACGCUGCCUGUCUCCUUAUACCACGCUGCCUGUCUCCUUAUCCCACGCUGCCUGUCUCCUUAUACCACGCUGCCUCUCUCCUUAUACCACGCUGCCUGUCUCCUUAUACCACGCUGCCUGUCUCCUUAUACCACGCUGCCUGUCUCCUUAUCCCACGCUGCCUGUCUCACCAUGUUGCCUGUCUCUCUGUAUCCCUCUGUGUGUCAAAGCCCAACCGGUAAAGGCUGUGGAUCUGGGAAUGGUUAUGAUGGGUGAUGGAUACUGAUGGUUGAAACCUAUAACCACUGAACACAUAUUUCGUCUGGAUUGAACAACCAAAGCCCACUUUCAAUUGGUUUGUUUGGACAUUGUUAAAAUAGAGAGGGUCUCAGAGUUUGUACCACCUUAUGGAGGUGUGUGUGUGUUAGACCUACUUCUGUGUCUGUAUUAAAAUCCCUUCGUCCU
ensembl:lncRNA